rnacentral:rRNA from 1 species
AUUGAACGCUGGCGGCAUGCUUUACACAUGCAAGUCGAACGGUAACAGGCCGCAAGGUGCUGACGAGUGGCGAACGGGUGAGUAAUGCAUCGGAACGUGCCCAGUCGUGGGGGAUAACGCAGCGAAAGCUGUGCUAAUACCGCAUACGAUCUAUGGAUGAAAGCGGGGGACCGUAAGGCCUCGCGCGAUUGGAGCGGCCGAUGUCAGCUUAGGUAGCUGGUGGGGUAAAGGCUCACCAAGCCAACGAUCUGUAGCUGGUCUGAGAGGACGCCCAGCCACACUGGGACUGAGACACGGACCAGACGCCUACGGGGGGAGGCAGUGGGGAAUUUUGGACAAUGGGCGCAAGCCUGAUCCAGCAAUGCCGCGUGCAGGAAGAAGGCCUUCGGGUUGUAAACUGCUUUUGUACGGAACGAAACGGUCUGGGUUAAUACCUCGGGCUAAUGACGGUACCGUAAGAAUAAGCACCGGCUAACUACGUGCCAGCCGCCGCGGUAAAAC